rnacentral:rRNA from 1 species
UACGGAGGGUGCGAGCGUUGUCCGGAUUUAUUGGGUUUAAAGGGUGCGUAGGUGGCUGAUUAAGUCAGUGGUGAAAUACAGCCGCUCAACGGUUGAGGUGCCAUUGAUACUGAUCAGCUUGAAAGAAUUGGAGGCUGCCGGAAUGGAUGGUGUAGCGGUGAAAUGCAUAGAUAUCAUCCAGAACACCGAUUGCGAAGGCAGGUGGGCUACGAUUUAUUUGACACUGAGGCACGAAAGCAUGGGGAGCAAACAGGG